rnacentral:lncRNA from 1 species
GCUACCUUUGGGAAGUGAUUGUAGGAUCCAAUCCUUGCUAAGCUCUCCAUCCUUAACAAAACCCAACUAACCUAAUCGUGUAAUCAAGUCAAUCAUUUUGAGCAUAUGGGUUUACAUGGAUGUGUCCUCACUCAUUCUCGUAUGAAACAACUACUUAGAUUUCUUAUUUCUAGCAAUCAUGCUAUGCUAUCCAUACAACUCCCUC